rnacentral:rRNA from 1 species
GACAGAGGUGCCGAGCGUUAGGCGGAAUCACUGGGCUUAAAGCGUGUGUAGGCGGGUCGUUAAGUGUCUUGUGAAAUCCCCCGGCUCAACCGGGGAAUGGCUGGGCAUACUGGCGAUCUUGAGCAGUCUAGGGGCAGAUGGAACAAGUGGUGGAGCGGUGAAAUGCGUAGAUAUCACUUGGAACGCCAACGGUGAAGACAGUCUGCUGGGGACUUGCUGACGCUGAGGCGCGAAAGCUAGGGGAGCAAACAGG